UACGUAGGUGGCAAGCGUUAUCCGGAUUUAUUGGGCGUAAAGGGAACGCAGGCGGUCUUUUAUGUCUGAUGUGAAAGCCUUCGGCUUAACCGGAGUAGUGCAUUGGAAACUGGGAGACUUGAGUGCAGAAGAGGAGAGUGGAACUCCAUGUGUAGCGGUGAAAUGCGUAGAUAUAUGGAAGAACACCAGUGGCGAAAGCGGCUCUCUGGUCUGUAACUGACGCUGAGGUUCGAAAGCGUGGGUAGCAAACAGG
rnacentral:rRNA from 1 species